rnacentral:rRNA from 1 species
UACAGAGGUCUCAAGCGUUGUUCGGAUUCAUUGGGCGUAAAGGGUGCGUAGGUGGCGGGGUUAGUCAGGUGUGAAAUCUCGGAGCUCAACUCCGAAACUGCACUUGAUACUGCCUUGCUUGAGUACUGGAGAGGAGACUGGAAUUUACGGUGUAGCGGUGAAAUGCGUAGAUAUCGUAAGGAAGACCAGUGGCGAAGGCGGGUCUCUGGACAGUUCCUGACGCUGAGGCACGAAGGUCAGGGGAGCAAACGGG